rnacentral:rRNA from 6 species
CCAGGGAGGUGGGCAACUACCACCCAGGUGCUGGAAAGUUGUACGAACUCGGUCGUUUAGAGGAAGUAAAAGUCGUAACAAGGUCUCCGUUGGUGAACCAGCGGAGGGAUCAUUA